UACAGAGGUCCCAAGCGUUGUUCGGAUUCACUGGGCGUAAAGGGUGCGUAGGCGGCCGAGUAAGUUCGAUGUGAAAUCCCGCAGCUCAACUGCGGAACUGCAUUGGAUACUAUUCGGCUCGAGGAAUGGAGGGGAGACUGGAAUUCUCGGUGUAGCAGUGAAAUGCGUAGAUAUCGAGAGGAACACCAGUGGCGAAGGCGAGUCUCUGGACAUUUCCUGACGCUCAGGCACGAAAGCCAGGGGAGCAAACGGG
rnacentral:ncRNA from 2 species